UUCCUACGGGGGGCUGCAGUGGGGAAUUUUGCGCAAUGGGGGAAACCCUGACGCAGCAACGCCGCGUGAGUGAUGAAGGCCUUCGGGUCGUAAAGCUCUGUCAGAGGGGAAGAAGUUCAUGGGCGCUAAUAUCGCUUAUGCUUGACGGUACCCUCAAAGGAAGCACCGGCUAACUCCGUGCCAGCAGCCGCGGUAAUACGGCGGGUGCGAGCGUUGUUCGGAAUUAUUGGGCGUAAAGCGCGUGUAGGCGGUUUUUUAAGUCUGAUGUGAAAGCCCUGGGCUCAACCCGGGAAGUGCAUUGGAAACUGGGAGACUUGAAUACGGGAGAGGGCAGUGGAAUUCCUGGUGUAGGAGUGAAAUCCGUAGAUAUCAGGAGGAACACCGGUGGCGAAGGCGGCUGCCUGGACCGAUAUUGACGCUGAGACGCGAAAGCGUGGGGAGCAAACAGGAUUAGAUACCCCGGUAGUCAU
rnacentral:rRNA from 1 species